GACGAACGCUGGCGGCGUGCUUAACACAUGCAAGUCGAACGGAAAGGCCCCUUUCGGGGGUUCUCGAGUGGCGAACGGGUGAGUAACACGUGAGUAACCUGCUCUUGACUUUGGGAUAACUUCAGGAAAUUGGGGCUAAUACCGGAUAGGAGCUCCUGCUGCAUGGUGGGGGUUGGAAAGUUUCGGCGGUUGGGGAUGGACUCGCGGCUUAUCAGCUUGUUGGUGGGGUAGUGGCUUACCAAGGCUUUGACGGGUAGCCGGCCUGAGAGGGUGACCGGCCACAUUGGGACUGGGAUACGGCCCAGACUCCUACGGGAGGCAGAAGUGGGGAAUAUUGCACAAUGGGUGGGAGCCAGAUGCAGCAACGCCGUGUGCGGGAUGACGGCCUUCGGGUUGGAAACCGCUUUCGCUCAUGACGAAGCUUUGUGUGACGGUAGUGGGUAAAGAAGCACCGGCUAACUACGUG
rnacentral:rRNA from 1 species